rnacentral:lncRNA from 1 species
AGGAUAGGAGAUUUUGCAGCAGUGUUGGAACUAAAGUGGUUGCAACAGAUCAAAAUUAUGAUAACAGAUAUGAUUUUGUCCUCAGCAAGAAAGCAUUUUCUUCAAUGGCUUUAAAGAAUAAGACUAGCCAACUUCUGAAUCUUGGCACUGUUGAUGUGGAAUAUAAGAGGUGACCAUUUAACUAUUAUUGCCAUUGCUUUAUUACUAAAGUUCCUUUUCAUAUUUUUUUGGAUUUUGAAAUUAAACUAUGACACAUAUUGUCUCCCCGGCCUCUAAGUUUUACGUUAUGUGUUAUUUCUCACUUUUCUAUCACUCGUGUUUUCAAAAAAAUCAAACCAAGUUUUGAACUCUAAAAUAGUUUUCAAAGAUAUCGCUCACACUUUAAUUUCAUGAUCUUUUUUUAAUGCAUGAAUCAUAAAAAUGAUAUAUAUUAUGAUCACUUCCAUACCAAAAAUAUCAACUAACUUUGGUGAGUUUGAUAUGUUUUGGCACAGGAUACCAUGUGCAUACAAAAACAAGAAUUUGUUAGUGAGAGUGGAAGAAUGGAGCCAAAAGCCAUACUAUUUAGCCCUUAAAUUCCUUUACCAAGGUGGCCAAACAGAAAUAACAAGAGUUGAGAUAGCUGAAGUAAGUUUCAAAACUGAUCAACACAAAACCAAUAACACAUCAAACUUCAUUAAUUAAUAUAAAACUGAGUAAGAGCUAGUUUUGAUCAAAUAAAUGAAAUUGAGGUUUAUUGUUUAAUUUUUUGCAUGAAAUUUAAUAGGUUGGUUCCGAUGAUUGGGAAAGCAUGAAGAAAAAUUAUGGUGCAAUUUGGGAUAUAAACAAACAACUUGAAAGAGCAUUGCAAUUGAAGAUAGUUGUAACUUCGGAGAACAAAAGAAUUGAAAACUUAUAUUGGGCAGUUAAUGAUCUUCCUGAGGAUUGGGAAAAUGGAGAGAUUUAUGAUACUG